AUGUAAACUGCCUUGCCUAGUCAGAAAGGAAGGCUGUUCUCUUCACCCUGGUAGAGGCAGCUACUCUCCUAGACUCCUCCUUUCCAAAUAAAUCUCUUUCUCAAAAGAGUUUUGGGUGAAGACCUUCAUUCACUGGUGCACAGAAGAACCUUGCUGGGACAUCCCAUAGUGGACCGAGCAAGGGGGAGCUAAACAGAAGAACCUUACUAAGACAUCCCAUAGUGGACUGAGCAAGGGGGAGCUAAACAGAAGAACCUUGCUGGGACGUCCCAUUAGUGGACUGAGAAAAAGAGAGCUGGUAACACUGAGCCAGAGAUUUCGGCUCUCCAGGAGAGGAGCAGGAUUGCUGUGCCCUGCGGGGAGACCAUCCCCCAUCACACCAGGGAAUUUGUCUUACUACCGAUGAACGUUCAUACUUCGACCAUGUUAUCAGCUUUCCAGGCUUUACUUUUGCUGUGGCUCAAAGGAACAUCAAUGGUGAGAGCUGGGUAGAAGUGGAGAAUAACAAUUAUUCUUGAUAAAUUGGCAUGUGUUAGGCAUGAUUAUCUGCCUAUUUGCUCAUUAAUUCUUGCAAUAGUCCACUGAGGAAUGCAUCACCACCCAACCCAUCUUGACGGUGAGGAACCCGGAGUUGAAAAAGACCCAGUCACGUGUCACGGGGUGAAGAGGUGAAACAAGAAGUUCUGCACUUUACUGAUACUCGUCUUUGUUGAUUUAAAAGCCCAUUUUUUAUUCAAUUUCAAGA